GCUUACGGCCACACCUCCCUGAGCACGCCCGAUCUCGUCUGAUCUCGGAAGCUAAGCAGGGUCGGACCCGAUUAAUACUUGGAUGGGAGACCGCCUGGGAAUACCAGGUGCUGUAAGCU
ensembl:rRNA 5S_rRNA 5S ribosomal RNA